AGGGUUGAUAUUAUAGUAAAGCUAGUUACCCGUAUAUAUGGUUAACAUGAGGGUUGAUAUUAUAGUAAAGGUAUAUAUGGUUAACAUGAGGGUUGAUAUUAUAGUAAAGGUAUAUAUGGUUAACAUGAGGGUUGAUAUUAUAGUAAAGGUAUAUAUGGUUAACAUGAGGGUUGAUAUUAUAGUAAAGGUAUAUAUGGUUAACAUGAGGGUUGAUAUUAUAGUAAAGGUAUAUAUGGUUAACAUGAGGGUUGAUAUUAUAGUAAAGGUAUAUAUGGUUAACAUGAGGGUUGAUAUUAUAGUAAAGGUAUAUAUGGUUAACAUGAGGGUUGAUAUUAUAGUAAAGGUAUAUAUGGUUAACAUGAGGGUUGAUAUUAUAGUAAAGGUAUAUAUGGUUAACAUGAGGGUUGAUAUUAUAGUAAAGGUAUAUAUGGUUAACAUGAGGGUUGAUAUUAUAGUAAAGGUAUAUAUGGUUAACAUGAGGGUUGAUAUUAUAGUAAAGGUAUAUAUGGUUAACAUGAGGGUUGAUAUUAUAGUAAAGGUAUAUAUGGUUAACAUGAGGGUUGAUAUUAUAGUAAAGGUAUAUAUGGUUAACAUGAGGGUUGAUAUUAUAGUAAAGGUAUAUAUGGUUAACAUGAGGGUUGAUAUUAUAGUAAAGGUAUAUAUGGUUAACAUGAGGGUUGAUAUUAUAGUAAAGGUAUAUAUGGUUAACAUGAGGGUUGAUAUUAUAGUAAAGGUAUAUAUGGUUAACAUGAGGGUUGAUAUUAUAGUAAAGGUAUAUAUGGUUAACAUGAGGGUUGAUAUUAUAGUAAAGGUAUAUAUGGUUAACAUGAGGGUUGAUAUUAUAGUAAAGGUAUAUAUGGUUAACAUGAGGGUUGAUAUUAUAGUAAA